GCGGUCGCUCUUUCUUUUUCAUUAAUUUUUUAUUGUAUACACUGAAUUUAACAUUUAGCAUUCCCAUUAUUGUUUAACAUUUUAAACCUAUUAUUCACGUUUUAUGAAAGAAAGAAAGAAAAAGAAAGAAAACGAUUACAAGAAGGAUAUAUAUAUAUAUAUAGUUAUAAUAAAAAGAGGAACGAACUCUGUAUUGCGUUAUGUUAAUGUUAUGACCACGUGACAGGGCGGAUCACGUGACCGGUAGAGCAGACCAUGACCUCGGACUGGUGGCGGUAACGGGGAUUAAACAGAAGAAUUCCGCUGCAGGCGCUUCGAGGAGCUUCAUGGAUCAGACCAAAGAGCAAAAUGAUGACUUUGGCUACAACCUGUUUCCGGAAAGGAAGAAGAGCAAGUACCAGAAAGGCUCGAUCGGGGAAAGUUUAUUCACCUUCAGCCACAAAUGUCAGAUCAUGCUGCACGUCGCAAUGGAGACAAAUCCAUAUGCGAAAGUCCUUCUAGAAGCCAUGAAGAACUCGGGCUGUGCAGUGUACAAAGACAGGCAUUUCUCGUGCGAGGAUUGCGACGGAACCGUCAGCGGCGGCUUCGACGCCACGACGUCUCAAAUUGUGUUGUGUCAAAACAACAUUCACCAGCAGGCGCAUAUGAACCGAGUCGUCACGCACGAGCUGAUUCACGCCUUCGAUCACUGCCGCGCUCACGUCGACUGGUUCAAUAACUACCAGCACUUGGCCUGCUCAGAGGUCCGGGCUGCGAGUCUGAGUGGCGACUGUUCUUUCAGCAAUGAACUCGCCAGGUUUAAUUUCGGCCUCAAAAAGCACCAUCAGGAGUGCGUGCGGGAUCGUGCCAUGCGCUCCAUCCUCGCCGUGCGGAAGAUAAGCAGAGACGAGGCGAUGAAAACAGUGGACCAGGUGUUCGACAGCUGCUACAGCGACCACGAACCCUUCGGCCGAAUCCCACACAGCAAAAAAGACGCCCAGUUCGCCUAUAGAGAUUUCGAGAACAGAGAUCGAUACUAUGCAAACCUCUAGGUGGUGCUAGAGUCUUACUCACUCUCUCUCUCUCUCUCACACACACACACACACACACACACACAGACACACACACACACACACACACACACACACACACACACACACACA